rnacentral:rRNA from 1 species
AACGAACGCUGGCGGCAUGCCUAACACAUGCAAGUCGAACGAGACCUUCGGGUCUAGUGGCGCACGGGUGCGUAACGCGUGGGAACCUGCCCUUAGGUUCGGAAUAACUCCCCGAAAGGGGUGCUAAUACCGGAUAAUGUCUUCGGACCAAAGAUUUAUCGCCUUUGGAUGGGCCCGCGUCGGAUUAGCUAGUUGGUAGGGUAAAAGCCUACCAAGGCGACGAUCCAUAGCUGGUCUGAGAGCAUGAUCAGCCACACUGGGACUGAGACACGGCCCAGACUCCUACGGGAAGCAGCAGUGGGGAAUAUUGGACAAUGGGCGAAAGCCUGAUCCAGCAAUGCCGCGUGAGUGAUGAAGGCCUUAGGGUUGUAAAGCUCUUUUACCCGGGAUGAUAAUGACAGUACCGGGAGAAUAAGCUCCGGCUAACUCCGUG